rnacentral:lncRNA from 1 species
AAACCGAACUCGAAACUUCACUAACGAGGCAGCUUAUUUUCUAAUCCCAGUCAGCAUUGUAGGGCACCGAGCGACUUCUUGGCAGAUACUGCAUCUUCAGCCAGGAGAAGUUGGCUUAGUACAAAAGGGCUUUUGAAGCGGAAACUACAAGAAGAUGCAUCUGUCUUAACAAAAAAUAAUAAACCAAGAAAAUAAAAGAUAUGGGAUCCUAGAAAUAAAAGGUGCAACACAAGAGAGAGAUAAAGAAAAACAUUGACAGCCUCUCUAUGAAGAAAGACCCAAAGUAACAACUUUGCAACAGCUCUAGGGAAUAAUUUGUUCAGAUAAGAGUAACUCAGGAGACUCCAAGAGCGAUUUUCGAGAAGAUUAAAUCUAUAGAAUACCUAAUAUGUUUGCACUUGUAAAGAAGAGUUUUAUACUACUUGGAGAGAAUUUAGCAGUUCAUCUAUCAGUAUCAUUUGCAUAGAUAUAAUGUUCGCUAAAUAUUUCUAUAGCCUAAGGAAGAUGGUGAAUGAGAAGUGUGCUUAUGUGUGGCAAGGAAGAAGGGGAUUUACCAAGUGGGAAGUCCAUGGUCAAAUGCUUAAGACU